rnacentral:misc_RNA from 1 species
UUUGUGCUGCUGGCAUGGAGGGCAGAAAAGAGCAAACCAAGGCUCGGAGGAAGUCUAGAAACAAUUGUUGCGUAGGUGGGCUGUUCAAACACGUACGCGAACGCGAGCGAGAGAACGUUCUACGCUUUUCCCGGGCGGCCCCACGAGCGAGAGCGCCGAGAGCAGUGGAUCGCUGCUGUUCGCCGCCGAAAUGCCGACGGCAGCCCUUGGAGGCCUACGAAGCACAGCCACGUCUGCAGCGAUCAUUUUGUCAACGGCAGAAAAUCGAAUCAUCCCAGGAAUCCAGCAUACCUGCCCACCAUAUUUCCCAGCGUCUACAGGUCCACCAAGAAGGUCGCCGACAAAAGGUUACAACCACGGCUGCCGUUGGACGAGAGUGGACCUGUCCCGUUGUCGUUCCGAUGCGAACUCAGCGCCAACAGCUGCGAAGUGGAGAUUCCGCGCAACAGCGUGGGAACGCAGACUGAUCCUAACCUGGGGAGCCUGGAGGUAGACGCGACAAUUUUCUUGUGCUGCAUGAUGGGUAAAAACGCCGAAACGCUGGCCAUCGUUCCCAGGAGGAAGCCACUGGGAGUGAGCCACUGGGAGCGUGCUUCGAAGUGAGAACACUGCACGUGAUCCGAUGAAGACUGCCAUCGCGCGCGGAAGCCGGUGUCUGCCGCUGCGGGACGCCACUGUACCUGGUCGAGAGCGAAAAGGGGCCACGUGUUCUGAAAUGGAUCCCUCGACUUUCGUGAGCGAACGUUGUUUCGUGAAUACUUGUACUGCAGUGGCGAGCUGAUUUCGCCUUUGAAAUAAAUUAUUCCACAACUAAAGUGCAUCUCUCUCUCUCUC